AAAGUUCCAAAGAAGCUGUCAACAUGUCUCUUGGACUUUCAAUGUCUGUAAAUCCUGAGUUUUCAACAGCCGUGGUUUGUGGUCCGACCAUACCUAAGAACUGUGACGUCACCACUUACAAUGGCAUGUGCUUUAAAAUCAAUUCAAAAAAUUCUGUAAGCCAACCUGUGCCGAGGACUCUGAGAGAAUGUCCAAAAUCGCAAAUAGAUAUCGCUUUUUUAAUGGAUGGAUCUGGAAGUGUAAAUGAUGUUGAUUUUUCUAAGAUGAAGAAAUUUGUUAUAAAAAUGAUUAGAAGUUUUAUAGACCAGGAUGCAAAG